rnacentral:rRNA from 1 species
GAUGAACGCUGGCGGCGUGCCUAAUACAUGCAAGUCGAGCGAACGGACGAGAAGCUUGCUUUUCUGAUGUUAGCGGCGGACGGGUGAGUAACACGUGGAUAACCUACCUAUAAGACUGGGAUAACUUCGGGAAACCGGAGCUAAUACCGGAUAAUAUUUUGAACCGCAUGGUUCAAAAGUGAAAGACGGUCUUGCUGUCACUUAUAGAUGGAUCCGCGCUGCAUUAGCUAGUUGGUAAGGUAACGGCUUACCAAGGCAACGAUGCAUAGCCGACCUGAGAGGGUGAUCGGCCACACUGGAACUGGGACACGGUCCAGACUCCUACGGGAGGCAGCAGUAGGGAAUCUUCCGCAAAGGGCGAAAGCCUGACGGAGCAACGCCGCGUGAGUGAUGAAGGUCUUCGGAUCGUAAAACUCUGUUAUUAGGGAAGAACAUAUGUGUAAGUAACUGUGCACAUCUUGACGGUACCUAAUCAGAAAGCCACGGCUAACUACGUG